GGAUUGCAGCCUGCAACUCGGCUGCAUGAAGCUGGAAUCGCUAGUAAUCGCGGAUCAGAACGCCGCGGUGAAUGCGUUCCCGGGUCUUGUACACACCGCCCGUCACACCAUGGGAGCCGGAAACGCCCGAAGCCAGCGGCCUAACCGCAAGGAGGGAGCUGUCGAAGGCGGGGCCGGUGACCGGGGUGAAGUCGUAACAAGGUAGC
rnacentral:rRNA from 1 species